rnacentral:rRNA from 1 species
UACGAAGGGGGCUAGCGUUGCUCGGAAUGACUGGGCGUAAAGGGCGCGUAGGCGGACUGCACAGUCAGGCGUGAGAUUCCUGGGCUUAACCUGGGGACUGCGUCUGAGACGUGUGAUCUAGAGUGAGGAAGAGGGUCGUGUAAUUUCCAGUGUAGAGGUGAAAUUCGUAGAUAUUGGAAAGAACACCGGUGGCGAAGGCGGCGUCCUGGUCCUUGACUGACGCUGAGGCGCGAAAGCGUGGGGAGCUAACAGG